rnacentral:rRNA from 1 species
CCUACGGGUGGCAGCAGUGAGGAAUAUUGGUCAAUGGGCGAGAGCCUGAACCAGCCAAGUCGCGUGAAGGAUGAAGGAUCUAUGGUUUGUAAACUUCUUUUAUAUGGGAAUAAAGUGAGGAACGUGUUCCUUUUUGUAUGUACUUUAUGAAUAAGGAUCGGCUAACUCCGUGCCCGCAGCCGCGGUAAUACAGAGGAUUCGAGCGUUAUCCGGGUUUAUUGGGUUUAAAGGAGGCGUAGGCUGGGAGGUAAGUCAGCGGUGAAAUGCCCCCGCUCAACGGGGUGAAGUGGCAUUGAUACUGCGUUGCUGGAAUGCGGAUGCGGAGGGAGGAAUGUGUGGUGUAGCGGUGAAAUGCAUAGAUAUCAUACAGAACACCGAUUGCGAAGGCAUCUCACGAAUCCGCGAUUGACGCUGAUGCACGAAAGCGUGGGUAUCAAACAGGAUUAGAUACCCGAGUAGUC